ACAAACACAAUGAUGAGAAGAGUAAGGUUGGGCGUCACCCACAGCGAGGUGCGAAUUGGUGAAAGCACUGCUGGCAAGCAACCUGAAGAUGAUCUCUAAGUGGCCGUGAUCGAGCUAAUUGGUUAGACACGACUGGGUGCGCCCAUUACAGCGCCAGGGUAUCAGGUUUGUGCACAACCUGGCACCUGGCGAGGGUGUAGCUGUGAAGUUACACUAAAUUAAGGUGGUAACACGGAAAAUCCGUCCUUGGU
rnacentral:ncRNA from 1 species